CCCUUAGAUGUUCUGGGCCGCACGCGCGCUACACUGACGAAUGCAACGAGCUUAUAUCCUUGGCCGAAAGGUCUGGGUAAUCUCCAAAUUUCGUCGUGAUGGGGAUAGAUUAUUGCAAUUAUUAAUCUUCAACGAGGAAUGCCUAGUAAGCGCAAGUCAUCAGCUUGCGUUGAUUACGUCCCUGCCCUUUGUACACACCGCCCGUCGCUCCUACCGAUUGAAUGGUCCGGUGAAGCGUUCGGACCGUGGCCUUUGGACGGUUCGCCGUCUGUUGGCUGCGGGAAGUUCGUUAAACCUUAUCAUUUAGAGGAAGGAGAAGUCGUAACA
rnacentral:rRNA from 1 species